rnacentral:rRNA from 16 species
AUAUAGAUCACUCACCCGCGUCAUCCUUGUCACGUGGCGCAAAAAUAUUUAAAAGGGGAAUCCUAAAAGAGGACUUCCCAGGAGGUCACCCAUCCUAGUACUACUCUCGCCCAAGCACGCUUAACUCCCGUAUUCUUAUGGACUUCUGUGAAGGGUUUGAUUUGAGCACACGUGUCGGGAACAGAAAGAUGGUGAACUAUGCGUGAGCGGGGUGAAGCGGGAGGAAACUCUGGUGGAGGCUCGAAACGAUACUUACGUGCAAAUCGUUUGUCUGACUUGGGUAUAGGGGCGAAAGACUAAUCGAACCAUCUAGUAGUUGGUUCCCUCCGAACUUUCCCUCGGGAUAGCUGGAGCCCAUUAUGCGUUCUAUCAGGUAAAGCCAAUGAUUAGAGGCAUUGGGGACACAACGUCCUCGACCUAUUCUCAAACUUUAAAUAGGUAGGAUGGCUCGGCUGCUUCGAUGAGUCGUGCUACGGAAUCAGGUUCUCCAAGUGGGCCAUUUUUGUUAAGCAGAACUGGCGAUGGGGGAUGAACCGGAAGUCGUGUUACGGUGCCCAACUGUGCGCUAACCUAGAACCCAAAAAGGGUGUUGGUCGAUUAAGACAGUAGCAUGGUGUUCAUGGAAGUCGAAAUCCGCUAAGGAGUCUGUAACUACUCACCUGGCGAAUCAACUAGCCCAGAAAAUGGAUGGCGCUGAAGCGCGCGACCCACAGUCGGCCAUCUGGGCGAGUGCCAUGCCCCAAUGAGUAGGAGGGCGAGGCGGCCUCUUCAAAACCUGGGGUGCGAGCCCGGGGGGAGCAGCUGUCGGUGCAAAUCUUGGUGGUAGUAGCAAAUAUUCAAAUGAGAACUUUGAAUGCCGAAGAGGAGAAAUUUUCCAUUAGAACGACACUUGCACAUGGGUAAGCCAAUCCUAAGGGACGUGGUAACCCCGGCAGAUAGCGAAAUCACGCCCAUCCCCCGAAAGGGAAUCGGGUUAAGAUUUCCUGAACCGGUAUGUGGCGGUUGAUGGCGACGUUAGGAAUUCCGGAGACGUCGGAGGGGGCCUCGGGGAGAGUUAUCUUUUCUGCUUAAUGACCUGCCAACCUUACAAACGGUUCAGACGGAGGUAGGGUCCAGUGGCCGGAAGAGCAUCACACGUCGUGCGGUGUCCGGUGCGCCCCGAGUGGCCUAUGAAAAUCCGGAGGACCGAGUACCGUACAAGCCCCGAUCGUACUCAUAACCGCAUUAGGUCUCCAAGGUGAACAUCCUCUGGCC